rnacentral:lncRNA from 1 species
ACACCACCCCACGGCCUUGGCCCCGGGGUUUUGGGGUACACAGGGGGACACGGGGGGACACGGGGACGUGCCACAGCCUGGGGGUGCCGUGUCCUCCAGCCAAGGUGCUGGGGGGCACCAGGGACGUGGCACCCCACGGCCAGGGUCACCCGGUGGGGUGCCACCCCCCUGUGCCACCACGGGGCUCCGGGGCAGGGCUGACGCUGGCCUUCACCCCGCAGCCGGGAGGAGGAUGAGGAGGAUGAGGAGUCCCCGGGGGGCGUGCGCUGGAGCCCCCUGAGCGGGGCGCAGCUGGAGGAGAUGGUGCGCGAGGCCACGCGGCUGGCGGCCCAGCUGCAGCACAGCCACCUGCCCCCCCUGGGCCCCGGCCCCAGCCCGCCGGGGGGGGGGGGCAGCCCCCGAAACCCCCGCCGCGAGACCUUCGUGGUGAAGGACAGCCCCGUGCGGGAGCUGCUGCCCACCGUGCCCCCCGCCCGCGAGGACACCCCUGGCUGUCACCCCCCGCCAGCACCCAAGGGACCCCCAGCUCGGGGCAGGGGAACCCUUGGCCGGGGGGGCCCUUCCCGGCUGUGCCCCCCGCGUGGGGCAGGGGCUGCGGCACGGGGCAGGUCCGAGCCCCUCCGGAAAGGGCCAGCAGGCCAGCCAAAGGCGAGGGGUGGCGCUGCUGCCGCCCCCCCAACCCGUGCGCCCCGCGCCAGGGCCACCACCGCCGCCGUCCCCGUCCCCAG